UACGGAGGGGGCUAGCGUUGUUCGGAAUUACUGGGCGUAAAGGGCUCGUAGGCGGCCCACUAAGUCCGACGUGAAAUCCCCAGGCUUAACUUGGGAACUGCGUCGGAUACUGGUGGGCUUGAAUCCGGGAGAGGGAUGCGGAAUUCCAGGUGUAGCGGUGAAAUGCGUAGAUAUCGGGAGGAACACCAGUGGCGAAGGCGAUCUUCUGGACGGAUACUGACGCUGAGGCGCGAAAGCUAGGGGAGCAAACGGG
rnacentral:rRNA from 1 species